AUUGAACGCUGGCGGUAUGCUUAACACAUGCAAGUCGAACGGUAACAGGCCUUCGGGCGCUGACGAGUGGCGGACGGGUGAGUAACGCGUAGGAAUCUGCCUCAUAGUGGGGGACAACGUGGGGAAACUCACGCUAAUACCGCAUACGCCCUACGGGGGAAAGCGGGGGAGUCUUCGGACCUCGCGCUAUGAGAUGAGCCUGCGUUAGAUUAGCUAGUUGGUAGGGUAAAGGCCUACCAAGGCGACGAUCUAUAGCUGGUCUGAGAGGACGAUCAGCCACACUGGGACUGAGACACGGCCCAGACUCCUACGGGAGGCAGCAGUGGGGAAUAUUGGACAAUGGGCGCAAGCCUGAUCCAGCAAUACCGCGUGUGUGAAGAAGGCCCUAGGGUGUAAAGCACUUUCAAUUGGGAGGAAAACCUGCCGGUCAAUACCCGGCAGCUUGACAUUACCUUUAGAAGAAGCACCGGCUAACUCCGUGCCA
rnacentral:rRNA from 1 species